rnacentral:rRNA from 1 species
UUUUGCCUACGGGAGGCAGCAGUGAGGAAUAUUGGUCAAUGGGCGCAAGCCUGAACCAGCCAAGUCGCGUGAGGGAUGACGGUCCUAUGGAUUGUAAACCUCUUUUGUCGGGGAGCAAGGCCCGCCACGUGUGGCGGGAAGGAGAGUACCCGAAGAAAAAGCAUCGGCUAACUCCGUGCCAGCAGCCGCGGGAAUACGGAGGAUGCGAGCGUUAUCCGGAUUUAUUGGGGUUAAAGGGUGCGCAGGCG